rnacentral:misc_RNA from 1 species
GAUGAAGAACGUAGCGAAAUGCGAUACGUAAUGUGAAUUGCAGAAUUCAGUGAAUCAUCGAAUCUUUGAACGCAUAUUGCGCUCUCUGGUAUUCCGGAGAGCAUGCUUGUUUGAGUAUCAGUAAACACCUCAACUUCCAUAUCUUUUUUGAAAUGGGAGUUGGACUUGAGUGAUCCCAACGCUUUUCCUCACCGAAAAGUGGCGGGUUACUUGAAAUGCAGGUGCAGCUGGACUUUUCUCUGAGCUAUAAGCAUAUCUAUUUAGUCUGCCUAAAAAACAGAUUAUUACCUUUGCUGCAGCUAACAUAAAGGAGAUUAGUUCUUGUGCUGACUGAUGCAGGAUUCACAAAGACGGCUUCGGCCGACUUUGUAAACUCGAUCUCAAAUCAAGUAAGACUACCCGCUGAACUUAAGCAUAUCAAUUAGCGGAGGA